rnacentral:rRNA from 1 species
AUACGUAGGGAGCGAGCGUUGUCCGGAAUUACUGGGUGUAAAGGGAGCGUAGGCGGGACGGCAAGUCAGAUGCGAAAUACAUGGGCUCAACCCAUGGGCUGCAUUUGAAACUGCUGUUCUUGAGUGAAGUAGAGGUAAGCGGAAUUCCUGGUGUAGCGGUGAAAUGCGUAGAUAUCAGGAGGAACACCGGUGGCGAAGGCGGCUUACUGGACUUUUACUGACGCUGAGGCUCGAAAGCGUGGGGAGCAAACAGGAUUAGAUACCCUGGUAGUCCACGCUGUAAACGAUGAUCACUAGGUGUGGGGGGACUGACCCCUUCCGUGCCGCAGUUAACACAAUAAGUGAUCCACCUGGGGAGUACGGCCGCAAGGUUGAAACUCAAAUGAAUUGACGGGG